GCCGGGAUGGCGGAAUAGGCAGACGCACGGGACUUAAAAUCCCGGGAUCGGAAACGAUCGUGCCGGUUCGAGUCCGGUUCCCGGCA
rnacentral:tRNA from 1 species